UCUGCAGUAUAGCACCGCGCUUCUUGAGUCGCAGUAGUCACACGGAAACGACAUCGUUUUGAUUCACAACUACGAAACUAAGUAGUGAUAUUUUGAGAAGUGAAGUGUGAAGUAGCUUUAUGAAGAAAAAUAGCAUCGCACAUGAUAAGCAUGGGAAAGUGAGGACGCGGAAUGUAUGUGAAGGUAAUAGUAAUAGUAAUAGUAAUAGUAAUAGUAGUGGGGACAAGUAGAAGGUGGUAUAAAGAUAUUUGUUUACUUUUUGGAUCCGAUAGAUUAUUGAGGAGUGAAUCUUGCUUGCAUUGCAUGUGCCAUCUGUGUUUGUGUUGUAACUUUG
rnacentral:lncRNA from 1 species